GAACGGCAGCACAGAGGAGCUUGCUCUUGGGUGGCGAGUGGCGGACGGGUGAGGAAUACAUCGGAAUCUACUCUGUCGUGGGGGAUAACGUAGGGAAACUUACGCUAAUACCGCAUACGACCUACGGGUGAAAGCAGGGGAUCUUCGGACCUUGCGCGAUUCAAUGAGCCGAUGUCGGAUUAGCUAGUUGGCGGGGUAAAGGCCCACCAAGGCGACGAUCCGUAGCUGGUCUGAGAGGAUGAUCAGCCACACUGGAACUGAGACACGGUCCAGACUCCUACGGGAGGCAGCAGUGGGGAAUAUUGGACAAUGGGCGCAGCCUGAAUCCAGCCAUACCGCGUGGGUGAAGAAGGCCUUCGGGUUGUAAAGCCCUUUUGUUGGGAAAGAAAUCCACUGGCUAAUACCGGUUGGGAU
rnacentral:rRNA from 1 species